AUGGAACAAGUGAUGAUUUUGAAUCAGGACUAUUUAAGCUUCUGCUUCACAAGGCUAAAAUGCAUUACCAACAUUUUUGGCCUAUGUUAUUACUCAAAUGUGAUGUGUAUUUCAGGACUUGGAAUUUGGGUGGAGAGUAAUUGUUGGCUCUGUCAUCGGAUUCUAUCGUCUUUGGGAGUUUUGGAGAUGAUAGGGGAAAUGUAUUGGAACACAGAACCAUAUGAAGAAGAAGAAGACGAAAAUGAAGGUGAAACUGCAACAGAUGCUGGUGCUGAAGAUAUUAUGUACAAACUUCUACCUAGAGGUCCAAGAAUUAGAAAUGAAGAGACAUAUAUAUCAACUUGUUCAACGACAUAUUGGAUCUUAAACCUCUUACAGGUCCCUGUUGCUGUAGGAGUUUGUGCAUAUGAAGCAGUUUGCUUGUAUAACGGAAUGAGGGUGGUUAUGUCAAGUGGAAAAGAUGUAAUAACCGUGUAUAUGGGAAACGGGGUGGUCAUGUCAAGUGGCGAAGAAGUGAUAACCUGGAAAGUGCAUCCGUUGAUUCUUUACUGUUGCUGUGGCUUUUUAGCUUGGUGGUCUGCUAGGUCUUCAUGGAGGAUUCAUUUUGGUUCCAUUGUUUCUACAUCUAGGGAUUUUGCCUAGGGUGCAUCUUUCGUUUCCCCUGAUCACCGUUGUUCUAGAGAGAUCAGUUAUUUCGACUUCCAAGUUGCAACUAUUGACAGAUUGCAAAUGCAGGUUUCUAUCACCACUGCUAACUUUUAUGAUGAUGUUCUCCUCUUCCAUGUCUGUCAUACAGCAAUACUUACUAGGACACUUUCCAGACCAUAGGUGGUGUAGGCAUAGCAGACGCAAUUAAGAGGAUCAAGGAGAGGCAGUGUAUGGGGUUUGAUAAAAUCUGUGCAUAUAAGCCUUAAGUUUUGUGCAACCUGUGUUUUUCUGGAGUGAUUUUGAUUUUAUUUCCAAAAAGAAGUUGGUAUGUGAUGGAUUGGGUUCCUGUAAUUUGUAAUGCAUGGCAAUAAGUUACAAAGUCGUGUUCAUUUUUCGCCAUGGUGUGGUCUGAGGAGAGGUAGAAAUAGACAAAAACGCCUCAUGCAGCUUAACAAGGACACAACUGUAGGAAGAUUAGGACAAAAGGUCAGUAGAUAAUCGACAAUUAGAGCAAAAGGUUAGAAGGACCUCUGUGGCUGUCAAUCAACUCGGAAUGAUAAACAACGCGAAAGACAGACACCGCCAGACCAUUUCAUCUCAGAAUUUAAGACAUGCACAAAACUUGUCAAACAUAGAACAGGGAGGUUGGAAUUCACAUCGAUUACAGUGAGUUCAUCAACAUAUCACACAAAAAUUAACGCCAAUAUAGAAUUAUUGAUAGUCGAAGGCACCACAAUACAGGUCAGUAUAUAUUGGAAAGGAGCAAGUGCCCCGGUCCUAAUUCAUUCAGUCAACACAGAAACAUCCCAAAAGUUAACAAAAACGUAACACUAUUUGAACUUAGAACACCAAACCAAGCCAUGGGUAAGGGCUUUUUAAUACUAGGAGGAAGAAUAUCACAUCCUCACUUCUUUCCGCUCUUUUUCAAGCCAGUACCGCCAAUGGACCCUUU